rnacentral:rRNA from 1 species
GACGAACGCUGGCGGCGUGCCUAAUACAUGCAAGUAGAACGCUGAAGAGAGGAGCUUACUCUUCUUGGAUGAGUUGCGAACGGGUGAGUAACGCGUAGGUAACCUGCCUUGUAGCGGGGGAUAACUAUUGGAGACGAUAGCUAAUACCGCAUAACAAUGGAUGACACAUGUCAUUUAUUUGAAAGGGGCAAUUGCUCCACUACAAGAUGGACCUGCGUUGUAUUAGCUAGUAGGUGAGGUAAUGGCUCACCUAGGCGACGAUACAUAGCCGACCUGAGAGGGUGAUCGGCCACACUGGGACUGAGACACGGCCCAGACUCCUACGGGAGGCAGCAGUAGGGAAUCUUCGGCAAUGGGGGCAACCCUGACCGAGCAACGCCGCGUGAGUGAAGAAGGUUUUCGGAUCGUAAAGCUCUGUUGUAAGUCAAGAACGGAUGUGAGAGUGGAAAGUUCACACUGUGACGGUAGCUUACCAGAAAGGGACGGCUAACUACGUG